rnacentral:lncRNA from 1 species
AAAUUUGUGAGAAUUGCAAUUCUGAUGAGAAACUACAUUAAUCUAGCUAUAAAGUGUGACCAAAAAAUACCCCCAAUUGAAUAUAAAAAAAUGCAAAUGCCACAACUGCAUGGAGUUCAUUCUCUCUUUAAAGUAUGUACAAUUGAAUAAGGCUCGAGCAUCAAAUGAAAUGUAAUAACACCCUAUUUCACCUAAAACCUGCUACUAAAAAUCCUAGUGAUAAAAAAAGGGGGAGAAAAAACAAACAGGACUGUGCUGUUAGUGGUUAUGCGGCCAAAAUUGAUGCAAUUUUUUGGCAGCAAAUCUUGAACACUACCCUGACUGCUUGUGUUCUUCCGGAAUUUGGCUCCAAGAAGGAUAGAAAUCAGAAUAUUCAUGACUUGCAUAACUGUGACAGGGAAGCCUGACUCGGUUGGUCUGUGAAGGUAUAUUGGGUUUUCUCCGGUACAUAUGAAGAUCUUAACCUCGUCUCGUAAUCCCGUUGAGAAAAGCUAUCAUGCUGGUGAGAAGAUC